UACGAAGGGGGCUAGCGUUGCUCGGAAUCACUGGGCGUAAAGCGCACGUAGGCGGCUUUCUAAGUCAGGGGUGAAAUCCUGGAGCUCAACUCUGGAACUGCCUUUGAUACUGGGUAUCUUGAGUAUGGAAGAGGUAAGUGGAAUUGCGAGUGUAGAGGUGAAAUUCGUAGAUAUUCGCAGGAACACCAGUGGCGAAGGCGGCUUACUGGUCCAUAACUGACGCUGAGGUGCGAAAGCGUGGGGAGCAAACAGG
rnacentral:rRNA from 1 species